GGGGUUGUGGCUCAGUGGUAGAGCACCUGCUUGAGAUGCAGAGGUUGUCCCCGGUUCAAUCCCUGGCGCCUCCA